GACGAACGCUGGCGGCGUGCUUAACACAUGCAAGUCGAACGGGAUUUAGUAGACAGAAGCCUCGGCUAAAGAUUACUACUGAGAGUGGCGAACGGGUGAGUAACGCGUGAGCAACCUGCCUAUGACAGUGGGAUAGCCUCGGGAAACCGGGAUUAAUACCGCAUAAAAUCGUAGAAACACAUGUUUUAACGGUCAAAGAUUUAUCGGUCAUAGAUGGGCUCGCGUCUGAUUAGCUAGUUGGUGAGAUAACAGCCCACCAAGGCGACGAUCAGUAGCCGGUCUGAGAGGAUGAACGGCCACAUUGGAACUGAGACACGGUCCAAACUCCUACGGGAAGCAGCAGUGGGGAAUAUUGCACAAUGGGGGAAACCCUGAUGCAGCGACGCCGCGUGAACGAAGAAGGUAUUCGUAUCGUAAAGUUCUGUCCAAUGGGAAGAUAAUGACAGUACCAUAGAAGAAAGCUCCGGCUAAAUACGUG
rnacentral:rRNA from 1 species